UUUGUAUAUUGCAUGAUCUUUUAUCAGAAAAAAAAUAAAACAGAUCCAAUUUCAUGAAAAUGCUGUUGCCUUAAUGCUCAGGAGAACUGGGGGAAGAAAGAGAUUCUACCUUAUAUGCAGGAACUUCUGACAACUACAACUAGAAUGUGACAGGAAGACAUUAGUUCAGAGAUUCUCAAGGAUUCCACGAACGUCUAUGCUGUCAUCUGCUGCGGGUGGAGGUCUAUCUGGGCGGCGCUGAGCAACGAUUCCGCUCCACCAAUCAGAGCCCAUUAAAGGUUGCCCUUUUCUUUCCUUCCUCGCCGUCAUUUGGGAUCUCUUUACUACAGUUUCUAAAAUAAUAGCCAUUCUAACACAUGGGAUUUGGCGUCUGACAUUUGACAUUGUGGUUUCUCUUUGUAUUUUCCUGAUGAUUAGUAAUAUUGGCCAUAUUUGCAUAUCUCUUCUGGUCAUUUAUAAAUCUUCUUUGGGAAAACAUCUACUCACUCCAUAUGCCCUCUCUUAAUUGGAAUUUUUCAUUCAAUUCUAGUGAGUUGUAUGCAUUUUGAAUAUUAGUUCCCUUUGUAGAUAUAUCACUUACAAAUAUUUUAUUCUCUGCUGUUUUAUUCUAGUUUGCCAUUUCAUUUUAUUGAUGGCUUUCUUUGCUGUACAGAAACUGUACAAAUUUCAAUAUUUCUGUUUGAUGUCACUCAUUAUUUUUGAUUUUGUUAUCUUUGCUUUAGCUGUUAUCAAAAAAUACCACGGUUCUGGAUUCUAUUAUCGAGCGUAUCCUCGAUGUUUUAUAGUUUUCUGAAAUGGCUAAACAUUAAACCUGGAACUUUACCCCAUUGACUCUGAGUCAGAUCUGGUACACACAAGUGUUUUUUCAAUCAUCAUACAAUUUUUAUAAAUUGAAUCAGAUGCAUUUUUAUGGUGUAGGCUUUAUUCUUCCACAAGCUUAUUACUUCCAAAUAUAUGGUUAAACUAUGAAAUAUAUUUUUGAUUUGGGGUGACACCUGGCUGUUCUCAGGCCUUGUUCCUGGCUCUGUACUCAGAAACUGCUCUGGUGGUGUUCAAGGGACCCUAGUUAGUGCAAACUGAAAUAGGCCAAAUCCAAAGCAAGCAUCCUAACCCUAUACUGUCUCUCUGACUUCAUAUAGUAGUAUAUUUUCUAUUAUUUGUCUUACCUUGAAGAUGACUGACUCUGUGAUUCAACUCAAGAGAUUUUUCCCUGAGGAUAUUAAUUACCUUAAUAAUUUUAUAAUUCUGACUAUAGAGAUUUUUCAAUUUCCCCUGCCAUUACUUUGUCCCUUUUCAAGCGUUCUUUCAAGUAACUUUGCUUCUGUUACCACUGCACAAUACCUUACCAUUUUACUUUAUUAUGACUGUACACAACUUUUUAUGUACUUACCUUGUUCACAUAGGGAAACAAUCCAAUAUAUGUCUUCUUCCUUCUGACCUAUUUUUUUGAGCAGUAUUUCUUUGGUGGUCCUUCCAUUUGUGAUGAAUGGCAAAUUUCAUUUUUUAUUGCUGAAUAGAAUGAGAAUUCUUAUAUUGUUCCUGAUAUUAGACAAAAUGCUUUCAGCAUUACACUAUUGGGUAUUAUGUGGUUGUCCAAUUCUUAUAUGUGGCCUUGAUUGUAUUGAGGUACUUUUGCUCUAUACCCAGUUUGUUGACAGGUUUUUCUUUUUUGGUUUUUUGAGUCACACCCGGCGAUGCACAGGGGUUACUCCUGACUCUUCACUCAGGAAUUACCCCUGGCAGUGCUCAGGGGACCAUAUGGGAUGCUGGGAUUAGAACCGGGGUCAGCCGCGUGCAAGGCAAAUGCCCUACCCGCUGUGCUAUCGCUCCAGCCCCGACAGUUUUUUAUCAUGAAUGGGUGUUGAAUUUUGUCAAGUGUUUUUCUGCAUCUUUUGAAACUAUUAUAUUACCUUUAUAAUUCAUUUUGUUAAUGUGGUCUAUCAAUCACAUUUUAUGAUUUGCAUAUGUUGAAUUAUCCUUAUAUCCCUGGAAUAAAUUUCAUUUGAUCUUAGCAUAUGCUGCUUUUAAUAUGUUAUUGAAUUUUAACUUUAAUUCCUUUUAUUAUCUGGCUCAAGUCCAUGCAUAACAGUUACCUUGAUUAAAGUACCAUUUUCUGUGUCAGAAUUUAUAAGAAUAGUUACGUCUAGAUUCCUUAAACAUUUACUUAAUGAUAAAUUGCAUUAAAAGUAUUUGUUUAAAUUGCAUUAAAGUAUUUGUUUUUAACUAAAAUGGGUUUUAAUACUUAUUAAAAUUAUGUAUAUUCAUUUUUAAAAUGUCAACACAAUGGAAUAAAAAAGAAAGGAAAAAAAGAAAGAGGAAGAAAUGGAGAGAAAGAUGGAUGGAAGAGACCAGAGAGAUAGUGGGUAGGGCAUUUUCCCUGUAUGUGGCUGAUUUGAGUUCAAUUUCUGGAAUUCCAGAUGGUGUCUCGAGUACCACCAGAAUUUAUUCCUGAGUAUAUUAAUCCCUGACCAGGAAUUCAGCAUUGCUGGGUGUGUCUCCUGUCAAAACAAACAAACAAACAAACAAACAAAAAAUGGAAGGAAAAAAGUGUGGAUGACAAGUCCUUUCAAAAUACAGCCAUGUAAUUAAAAAGUAGAAAUAAAAUGAUGGUUUAAGGUCUUCAAAAGUGGAGACUUCUUUCUUUAUCUCAGAAAAAUUUUCUUUGGUUUCUUUGUGGGAGGUUCUAAGAGUUCUAAGCAGUUCUCAGGGGACAAAGGGCCCCUUCCAGAGAUUGAUUCUCAGUCCACAGUGGCUUGAAGUGAGGAUCAGAGGCUACUUUGCUUCUUGGGAGCCAUGUAGUACCAGGGCUAGGUGCAUACAAGUGACGCACUUAAUGCCUGUUACUUACUCUCUCUGCCCUCUCUUUAUUAUUUUUUGAAACAUUUUUUGUCAAAUUUGCUUUGACA